rnacentral:rRNA from 1 species
GAAGAACCUUUCCUCGCCCUUACAAGGUAUGAACCCUUAAGAAAAUAGGGGGUGGUCCCUUGGGGGAACCUAAAACCAGGUGUUGCAGGGCGGUGUUCAGCUCGGGUCGUGAGAUGUUGGGUUAAUUCCCGCAACGAGGCCAACCUUCUUCUUUAGUUGCUAACAGUUAGGCUGGGCACUCUAAAGAGACUGCCUUCGUAAGGAGGAGGAAGGUGAGGACGACGUCAAGUCAUCAUGGCCCUUACGGCCAGGGCUACACACGUGCUACAAUGGGGCGUACAGAGAGCUGCAAUACCGCGAGGUGGAGCCAAUCUCUUAAAGCGUCUCUCAGUUCGGAUUGUUCUUUGCAACUCGAGAACAUGAAGCUGGAAUCAGCUAGUA